CAGCCAGGGCCGCCCCGGCGCUCGCCGUUUUUCAGUCACACGCUGCCGGUGCCCGCCCAGCCCUCCGGUGCCCCGAACGACCUCUGCCCUCCGGGGAGCCACAGCCCCUAAUUCAGGAUCAUCGGCCGACUCAGUUAAUGAACGUCGAUUUCUGCAUCCAGACCAUGAAGACAUUUACGAGCUGGGCCUGAAAUGGACCCCGGCCCCCCCCGCCAUGACUGCCACCAGCCUGAAGUCACCCCCUGCACUGUGACCCCAAGCCCGGCCCGUCGAGCAGAUGCUCACUCCGUGGGCUGAGACAUCAGGACAUGAGACAGCGCUGGAUGUGACAUGAGGAAUUGCCAGAUGUGCAGGUACCAGGGACAGUACCUGCUCUGUAUCCAGGCGCAGUCAGCUAUGGGCUGUUCCCAUCUGGAUAAGCUCUUUCCUGUGGUGUCAAGACAUGAUUCAGUAGGACACAUGAACCUGGAGGCCAUGAGGUGGCUUUGCCCAAGGCCCUAAUAAGAUGGGCAAACCAAACUCCCGUGGUGAUGGCUGUGGCGUGGGGGGGAUCCUGCAGUACUCCGGCUUUGAGGUCUUUCAUGGUGUUGCUAAUGGUGACUGUAAGCACAGAGUCAACCAAAACCACACGUACCAGCAGCAGAAGUGGCACUGAAUUACAAGCACAGCUUUAUCUCCUCCAGCCAUUUGUUUCCAGAAGCAGCUGGUAGCAGGAGGACAAGGCUGGAAACCAGCGUUCUCCACCCUCUGGUUAUCCCAGGUAUUCCAAGGGGCAGGUUUCCCAGAGAUGACUCCACACAGCUAAAUUUGUGGUUUGCAGCUUCCAUGACAGCCCCUUCUCUCUGUCAGCAGACAGUCCUUAAAGAGAAUCCUAUUGGUAUUCCAGACACCUGCCUGCUGUUAUAUAUGGAGGGAAAUGCAGGGAAGGAGCACGGGAAUCUCUCACCUUGUGCACCAAUACCAGACAGGAUUGACUCCUGAAACCAAGAAAACUUGCAUUUAGCAGGACCUGAGGGGCAGGCUAUGCAGGUUCACACCUAGAGCUGUGUCCUGAUACGACAUUCCCUCCAACUCCCAGAGCACGUCUGUGAGUCACUGCUGCUACACAAGACAUUCAGCUGCAAGAGUCUUUCUUGUAAACCUUCCACCCAGCCAGUUGUGCUUUGUCUCUGUGCAACCUUGAAGAUCUUUGCAUUCUCCCUAUAUAUUUAACUGUGUUAUUUCUAUUCCUAUUUAUAACAAAAUCAUAGAAUCGUUGCAUGGUUGGAGUUGGAAGGGACCUUAAAGACCACCU